rnacentral:lncRNA from 1 species
GCAAAACUGCUGAGGUUUGAGGCCCCGUUUUGCUGCUCACUAGCUACAUGAUCUUGGGCAAGUUAUUUAAGCUCUCUGAGCUUCAGUUUCUUCCUCUGCAGAAUGGGGAUGAAAGCGGACUACUACCUCAUGGCAUGUUUUGAGGAUGAAAUGAGCUAAUAAACACAGUCUUCAGCCCUACAUUAGGACGGCCUAAGGAAAACAAGAAGACUGAAUGAUAUUCCCUGGAGGAGUCUCACUUUGUCACCCAGCCUGGAGUGCAGUGGUGAGAUCAUAGCUCACUGCAGCCUUGACCUCAUGGGCUCAAAAAAUCCUCCUGUUGGGACUACAGAUGCUCACCACCAUGCCUGGCUAAUUUAAAAUUUUUUUGUAGAGACAGGGUCUCACUAUAUUGUCCAGACUGGUCUCAAAUUCCUGGCCUCCACCAAUCCUCCCACCUCAUUCUCCCAAAGUGCUGGGAUUAUAGGCAUGAGCCACUGCGUCUGGCCUAUAUUCUAAAAAAAUUCUGCUGAGAAACUAGGAAAGCUAGCAGCCUUGGUUUCUCAGGUUUGACUUGCAACAAUUGACUUCUUGUAAAUGUUGCCUAUAUUGCUUUCUCUACCACCUCAACAUCAACUUUUUCCCAAUUCGCUCCUCAUAUUUCUGCUAUUUCAUGAAGAUUGCUCUUGUUAAUGUCACCAAGAGCCUCCACAAUUGCCAAAUCCAGUAGUUUGUCUCUGCUUUUGUCUUACUUGCCCUUUUGGCAGCGUUUGCCACUUAAUCAUGCUUUUCUUUUUUCUUUUUUAGACAGGCUUUUACUCUGUCACCCAGGCUGGAGUGCAAUGGUGCAAUCUUGGCUCACUGAAACCUCUGCCUCCUGGAUUCAAGCGAUCCUCCCAACUCAGCCUCCCGAGUAGCUGGGACUACAGGUGAGGGCCACCAUGCCUGGUAAUUUUUGUAUUUUUAGUAGAGACAGGGUUUCACCAUGUUGACCAGGCUGGUCUCAAACUCCUGACCUCAGGUGAUCUGCCCGCCUUGGCUUCCA